rnacentral:rRNA from 1 species
CAGUCGCCGCGGGAAUACGUAGGGUGCGAGCGUUAAUCGGAAUUACUGGGCGUAAAGCGUGCGCAGGCGGUUCGUUAAGACAGAUGUGAAAUCCCCGGGCUUAACCUGGGAACUGCAUUUGUGACUGGCGAGCUAGAGUAUGGCAGAGGGGGGUAGAAUUCCACGUGUAGCAGUGAAAUGCGUAGAGAUGUGGAGGAAUACCGAUGGCGAAGGCAGCCCCCUGGGCCAAUACUGACGCUCAUGCACGAAAGCGUGGGGAGCAAACAGGAUUAGAGACCCCUGUAGUCCCUGUCUCUUAUAC